AGUGAACGCUGGCGGUAGGCCUAACACAUGCAAGUCGAACGGCAGCACAGUAAGAACUUGCUCUUACGUGUGUCGAGUGUCGGACGGGUGAGUUAUACAUCGGAAUCUACUUUUUCGGGGGUGAUAACGUAGGGAAACUUACUCUAAUACCGCAUACGACCUACGUGUGAAAGCAGGGGAUCGUCUGACCUUUCGCUAUUGAAUGAGCCUAUCUCGGCUUAGCUAGUUGGCUGGGUAAAGGCCCACCAAGGCGACGAUCCGUAUCUGGUCUGAGAGGAUGAUCAGCCAGCCUGGAAGUGAGACAGGGUCGAGACUCCUGCGGGAGGACGCAGUGGGGAAUAUUGGAGAAUGGGGGAGAGGGUGAUACAGCCAUAUCGCGUGGGUGAAGAAGGAGUUAGGGUUGUAGAGCCAUUAUAUUGGGAGAGAAAAGCAGCAGGUUAAUACGGCGCUGUUCUGACGGUACCCAAAGAAUAAGCACCGGCUAACUUCGUG
rnacentral:rRNA from 1 species